ACUGCAUUCACCUCUCACGAUAGUGACGUCAAGUCAUCGAGGUGAAUCACUAUCCCAGAAUAAACUGUGUAUAACCGGAAGACAUUAUGACAACUGAGAUUCCACUGCUAUUUGUUUAUGAGUUUCCCAGAGUGCCUGGCACCGUACGUGGCCCUAAGUACACACUAAAUAAAAUUUGGUUGAACUAAAAGGAAUGAGACUGAACUAAGCAUGUCUUCAGUUGGAUUCUCCAGGAAUCGGACUCUGAGGCAGUGUUCACAGGCAGGUAGUUUGUUAAUAGUAUGUUGAAGAAUCCACCGCUGCAGGGGAGCAGGAAGAUACAUACCAAGGAAAAUGAUGAAUCCCCUGGGACUGUCUUGAGACCUUCACUUGGGAUUUAGAAACUCCAGUUACUUGGCUGUGGAGUCAGAACUCAUAGAGGUGACCACCACUGGGUAGAAACUCUGGGAGAACUUUCCAAAAGGUUUCUUGUUACUAGAAGCCUUUUGCCCCUCUGCCCCUCCCUCUUCUUCUGGACUAGGACACAGAUGCUGUGCUUGGAUGGGCAGCAGCCAUCUUGCAGCAACGAGGAUAAAUGUCCCACCUCUGGACUCCUAAGGACAGGAAUGACUGCCUACUACAAAACUGUUCCAUGAGAGAAAUAAACCUUUUGAUCGUUUA